GACGAACGCUGGCGGCGUGCUUAACACAUGCAAGUCGAACGAUGAAGCCCAGCUUGCUGGGUGGAUUAGUGGCGAACGGGUGAGUAACACGUGGGUGAUCUGCCCUGCACUCUGGGAUAAGCCUGGGAAACUGGGUCUAAUACCGGAUAUGACCUCUUGCUGCAUGGCGAGGGGUGGAAAGUUUUUCGGUGCAGGAUGAGCCCGCGGCCUAUCAGCUUGUUGGUGGGGUAAUGGCCUACCAAGGCGACGACGGGUAGCCGGCCUGAGAGGGCGACCGGCCACACUGGGACUGAGACACGGCCCAGACUCCUACGGGAGGCAGCAGUGGGGAAUAUUGCACAAUGGGCGAAAGCCUGAUGCAGCGACGCCGCGUGAGGGAUGACGGCCUGGUGUAACGUACUUCUAG
rnacentral:rRNA from 1 species